rnacentral:rRNA from 1 species
GUGGGGAAUAUUGGACAAUGGCCGAGAGGCUGAUCCAGCCAUGCCGCGUGCGGGAGGACGGCCCUAUGGGUUGUAAACCGCUUUUGUCAGGGGGCAAUAAGUGUCACGUGUGGCACGAUGAGAGUACCUGGCGAAUAAGCAUCGGCUAACUCCGUGCCAGCAGCCGCGGUAAUACGGAGGAUGCAAGCGUUAUCCGGAUUUAUUGGGUUUAAAGGGUGCGUAGGCGGAAGCUUAAGCGUGAGGUGAAAUGCCACUGCUCAACAGUGGAACUGCCUCGCGAACUGGGUUUCUGGAAUGCCCCUGCCGUGGGAGGAAUGUGUGGUGUAGCGGUGAAAUGCAUAGAGAUCACACAGAACACCGAUUGCGAAGGCAUCUCACGAAGGGGUGAUUGACGCUGAGGCACGAAAGCGUGGGGAUCAAACAGG